rnacentral:lncRNA from 1 species
GCGGACAGUUGGGUUAACUCUCCUCCUCUGGGCCAGGUCACAUUUUAUGUCGAAAACUCUUGGGCCGGUCUUCGAUUUUUGAUUCCAGAGUUCAUCCGAAAUCUUUUUGAUUAUUACGGUCUCUGUCCUGCUCAGCUGGCUCCGAACUCCGUCCGACUGAUCAUCAAUUUUGCUUUGUUAUGUCGGCUCAUACCAACUGAGCCUCGUCCUUCUCUCUUUCGAACUUUCUUUAUCCUUCGUCCUCAUCCUAAGGCUAAAGGUUGGU